GUUGCGUCACGGGUCAAUUUAAUCAUGACUUAUGAGUGANNNNNNNNNNNNNGUCGAAGGCAUUGUAACCCAACAAGUGGGGAGNNNNNUUUGGUUGGGACAAAUUGAACGAUCUGNGGUAGCAUCGAUAAUGACGKGGKGKGGUUGCAAGUUGAGCCAUGCCCAGAUGUUGAUGUUACUUUGUGAUGUUGAUGAGAUUUGUGAUUUGGGACAAAUUGCUGUUKGGGGAUAUUAGUUUAAUUGUGAUCUUAGUUUUAUGCUUAACUAGUAUUUUCAUGAGGUGUGCACUUUCAGUCCGAUUGUAUGGCAUGUUGUUCUUUGAUUGUUGCCUUACAAUCAGAUUGUUGGGUGUGACCGAUGACAUGAUUUGGCAUGUUAAUCUUAAAACUAUGGAUGACAAUUUAAUGUUUCAUUUGUUGAUGAAUGAAUGAAAAUGAAUGUUGUUGAAUGGUGAUGCUAGGUUUUCUUGGUUUGAUGCGUUGUUUGUGAUGACAUUCGUCUCGAGGUGAUGCGGUGUCAUGUUGCCUGUGUAUCCUGGUUUCAAGCUAUUGAGCUUAAAACAUGUGGAUUAUCGGUUGGUGACACGGCAUCGCUCCUUUGGUUGAUGAAAGUCGUCCAAUGAUGCGCUGGUUUGUUUGUUUCCUUCUCGCAUCGCUCGGUGCAUUCUGGGGUCAUUUUGGCUGUUGGCAGCUUGCUUGGCAAUUGAGCUUGGUUGGUUGCUAGUAGUUCGGUGUCUUCGGGGAUGUCUACUGUAAAGGUGCAUGAGUGGUGUUUGGUUUGUUACGGGUGGUUGGCUCUUUGCUUGCGCAACAACUUCCACCCGGCAUACCUCUUCAGUCUUGUGUCAAUGCUUGUAUUGCAUUGAAUGCACAGUGGGUUUCUUGUGUUGCAUGCCUAAUUAAUGGUAUCGUUUGUUGAAUUGGUUUUCCUUUCGUCUUGCAUCGCCUAUGCUAUGUGAGAUGAACCUUGAAGCAGCCUUUGUGAUCCGCUCUUUUGAUGCAUACACAUUGAUUUUGCGGCUCAUUGAGUCUUGCUCGGUGUCAUGGAUAUGGAACCUGGUGUGGGCAUGGAAUCUUAUUGGUUCCUUGUUUGCCCAAGUUUAGCUUUUCUAAAACGAUUGUCU
rnacentral:misc_RNA from 1 species